rnacentral:rRNA from 1 species
AAAGGACCGAUUAGGAGCUUGCUGCUAAGACGGAGCGGGGAACGGUGAGUACACGUGGGCAGCUGGCUGGUGGACUGGGGUGACUUCGGGGAUGAAGCUAAUACCGGAUAGGAUCUUCUCCUUCAUGGGAGAUGAUUGAAAGAUGGUUUCGGGUAUCACUUUCAGAUGGGCCCGCCGUGCAUUAGCUAGUUGGGGGAGGUGACGGCCUACCAAGGGGACGAUGGAUAGCCGACCUGAGAGGGUGAUCGGGCCACCCUGGGGACUGACACCCGGCCCAGACUCCUACCGGAGGCAGCCGUGGGGAAUCUUCCCGCAAUGGACUAAAGUCUGACAGAAUCUCUCCCCGGGAAUGAUAAAGGCUUUCCGCGCAAAAAAAUCUGUUGUUAGGUAAGAACAAGUACGAGAGUAACUGCUCGGGCCUUGACGGUUCCUAACCAAAAAGGCCCCGGCUAACUACGUGCCAGCAGCCGCGGAAACACAUAGGUGGCAAGCGUUAUCCGGAAUUAUUGGGCCUAAAGCGCGCGCAGGCGUUUUUUUUAAGUCUGAUGUGAAAGCCCCCCGCUCAACGUGGAAGGUCAUUGGAAACUGGGAAACUUGAGUGCGAAAAGAAAAGCGGAAUUUCACGUGUAGACGGUGAAAUGCGUAGAGAUGGGGAAGCACACCAGUGGAGAAAGCCGGUUUUUGGUCUGUAACUGACGCUGAGGCGCGAAAGCGUGGGGAGCAAACAGGAUUAAAUACCCUGGUAGUCCACGCCGUAAACGAUGAGUGCUAAUUGUUAGAGGGUUUCCGCCCUUUAGUGCUGCAGCUAACGCAUUAAGCACUCCGCCUGGGGAGUACGGUCGCAAGACUGAAACUCAAAGGAAUUGACGGGGGCCCGCACAAGCGGUGGAGCAUGUGGUUUAAUUAGAAGCAACGCGAAGAACCUUAUCAGGUCUUGACAUCAUCUGACAACUCUAGAGAUAGAGCGUUCCCCUUCGGGGGACAGAGUGACAGGUGGUGCAUGGUUGUCGUCAGCUCGUGUCGUGAGAUUUUUGGUUAAGUCCCGCAACGAGCGCAACCCUUGAUCUUAGUGACCACCAUUUAGUUGGGCACUCUAAGGUGACUGCCGGGGACAAACCGGAGGAAGGUGGGGAUGACGUCAAAUCAUCAUGCCCCUUAUGACAUGGCCUACACACCUGUUCCAAUGGAUGGUCCAAAGGGCUGCAAGACCGCGAGGUCAAGCCAAUCCCAUAAAACCAUUCUCAGUUCGGAUUGUAGUCUGCAACUCGCGUACAUGAAGCUGGAAUCGCUAGUAAUCGCGGAUCAGCAUGCCGCGGUGAAUACGUUCCCGGCCCUUGUACACACCGCCCGUCACACCACGAGAGUGUGUCUCACUCGAUGUCAUCGAGUACUGUAGU